rnacentral:misc_RNA from 1 species
GUAGGUGAACCUGCGGAAGGAUCAUUAAUGAAUAUCUAUGGCGUUGGUUGUAGCUGGCUUCUAGGAGCAUGUGCACACCCGCCAUUUUUAUCUUUCCACCUGUGCACUAAAUGUAGAUCUGGAUAACUCUCGCUCUCACGAGCGGAUGCAAGGAUUGCUGUGUCGCAAGACCGGCUCUCCUUGAACUUCCAGGUCUAUGUACCCUUUACACACCCCAAUUGAAUGAUGAAGAAUGUAGUCAAUGGGCUCU